UUAUGAACUUGCCUAAAUCCAAGGUGUGACCUUCUUCCUCUUUCUUCUUCCUCAGGAAAAUGCAUCUGUUCUCAAGAAGUAAGCCAUGAGGUCCAUGUAAACAGUUCCCACAUCUGUAUCUUCCACCUGGAUCUCUUACCUGCCCCUGCUUCUGUUUCCUACCUUCACGUGCAUUCCAGAUAACCUGAUCUUCAGAGGGAGACCCAUGAAACGGUCAUCAUUUCAGUUUGUGAACUCCUGGGAGAAACAGACUGUACUUGAUUCAACUUGAACUCUGGACAAAAUAUGAAAAACAACUAUUAAGGGACUCUGAAAAAUAAAUAAAACCAGGAAUAUUGAGGAAGAGAGUCAAAAUCUGGGAAAGCAAUCCAUAUGGAGGACAGCCCCCAUUGCACAAACUGUGCAGAAGCAGUACAGAUAGGUAAAACUGAGCUUAAGGAGAAUUCCAGA